UGUUUCACUGUGCGAAAGUAGAAAAAAAAUAAAAAAUAAAUCACCAGGACAUAACAAAUACACACCGCACAUUAGGACAGAAUAUCCUUAGCACUGACUAUUUCCAAAUGAGCAAGUUAACAUGGUGGUGUAACGUAACAGGGAAUUAUAUUUGAUGAAGUCGAUGGACUAUGCCCGUUACUUCCGAACGUUGGCUGAAACACAUUUAUGAAAGACGCUGGAACAUGCCACUAUUCAGAUGCACGAGAUUGCCCUUCUGACUACUUGUCAACCGAGUUAAAAGCCCCACUUCAGA